CCCUUAGAUGUUCUGGGCCGCACGCGCGCUACACUGACGAAUGCAACGAGCUUAUAACCUUGUCCGAAAGGUCUGGGUAAUCUCCAAAUUUCGUCGUGAUGGGGAUAGAUUAUUGCAAUUAUUAAUCUUCAACGAGGAAUGCCUAGUAAGCGCAAGUCAUCAGCUUGCGUUGAUUACGUCCCUGCCCUUUGUACACACCGCCCGUCGCUCCUACCGAUUGAAUGGUCCGGUGAAAUCUCGGGACGGCGGCUUGGUCGCUUGCGUCCGACUGCUGAAACUUGAUUAAACCAUAUCAUUUAGAGGAAGGUGAAGUCGUAACA
rnacentral:rRNA from 1 species